rnacentral:rRNA from 1 species
CGGGGUGCACCAGGCGCGAAAACUCUACAAUGCAGGCAACUGCGAUAGGGGAACAUCGAGUGAUCCUCAUAUUGGGGGUCUGUCCACCCGCCUAAAAAGCGGGUGUUAGCAAGGGCCGGGCAAGACCGGUGCCAGCCGCCGCGGUAAUACCGGCGGCUCGAGUGGUGGCCGAUAUUAUUGAGUCUAAAGGGUCCGUAGCCGGCUUUGCAAGUCUCUCGGGAAAUCCAGCGGCUUAACCGUUGGUCGUCCGGGGGGUACUACAUUGCUUGGGACUGGGAGAGGUAGGAGGUACUCAGGGGGUAGGAGUGAAAUCCUGUAAUCCUUUGGGGACCACCGGUGGCGAAGGCGUCCUACCAGAACAGGUCCGACGGUGAGGGACGAAAGCUAGGGGCACGAACCGGAUUAGAUACCCGGGUAGUCCUAGCCGUAAACGAUGCUCGCUAGGUGUCACAACAGUCGUGAACUGUUGUGGUGCCGUAGGGAAGCCGUGAAGCGAGCCACUUGGGAAGUACGACCGCAAGGUUGAAACUUAAAGGAAUUGGC